UCGAGCGAUGAGAUCACUUCGGUGAAGGAUUAGCGGCGAACGGGUGAGGAACACGUGAAGAAUCUGCCUUCAACUCUGGGAUAACUCCGGGAAACCGGGGCUAAUACCGGAUAUGAGCCUUGAUCGCAUGAUCGGGGCUGGAAAGUUUUUCGGUUGAAGAUGACUUCGCGGCCUAUCAGCUUGUUGGUGAGGUAAUGGCUCACCAAGGCGACGACGGGUAGCCGGCCUGAGAGGGCGACCGGCCACACUGGGACUGAGACACGGCCCAGACUCCUACGGGAGGCAGCAGUGGGGAAUAUUGGGCAAUGGAGGAAACUCUGACCCAGCGACGCCGCGUGCGGGAUGAAGGCCUUCGGGUUGUAAACCGCUUUCAGCAGGGAAUAAGCGCAAGUGAAGGUACCUGCAGAAGAAGCACCGGCUAACUAUGUGCCAGCAGCCGCGGUAAUACAUAGGGUGCAAGCGUUGUCCGGAAUUAUUGGGCGUAAAGAGCUCGUAGGUGGUUUGUUACGUCGGUUGUGAAAUUCAGGGGCUCAACCCCUGACUUGCAGCCGAUACGGGCAAGCUAGAGUUUGGUAGGGGAGACUGGAAUUCCUGGUGUAGCGGUGGAAUGCGCAGAUAUCAGGAGGAACACCGAUGGCGAAGGCAGGUCUCUGGGCCAAUACUGACACUGAGGAGCGAAAGCGUGGGGAGCGAACAGGAUUAGAUACCCUGGUAGUCCACGCCGU
rnacentral:rRNA from 1 species